CCUACGGGAGGCAGCAGUGGGGGAUAUUGCACAAUGGGGGGAACCCUGAUGCAGCGACGCCGCGUGAGCGAAGAAGUACCUCGGUAUGUAAAGCUCUAUCAACAGGGAAGAAAAUGACGGUACCUGACUAAGAAUCCCCGGCUAAAUACGUGACAGCAGCCGCGGGAAUACGUAUGGGGCAAGCGUUAUCCGGAUUUACUGGGUGUAAUGGGAGCGCAGGCGGCCUGCCAAGUCUGGUGUGAAAACCCGGGGCCCAACCGCGGGCCUGCAUUGGAAACUGGCGGGCUGGAGUGGCGGAGGGGCAGGCGGAAUUCCUAGUGUAGCGGUGAAAUGCGUAGAUAUUAGGAGGAACACCGGUGGCGAAGGCGGCCUGCUGGACGAUGACUGACGCUGAGGCUCGAAAGCGUGGGGAGCAAACAGGAUUAGAUACCCCGGUAGUC
rnacentral:rRNA from 1 species